rnacentral:lncRNA from 1 species
AUCAAAGCGCUGUAAGCGCUGAAGGCAGUUAACCAAAAACCAAGGCAACCGUAAUUAUGAAAACUGUGGCAAAGUUGCCUCAACAUUAAACAUUCAUAUAUAGUACAUUUAUGUUUAUCUAAUGAUUUAUUUAUUAAGACAAAUACUUUAUAUGUUAUCAAGGUUUCAAAAGCAAUGCAUAUAGCAAUGCAUAUUUUUUAUGGUGAGUCUGCAGUGGUACAAGUUCCCAAUGAUUGCAGCAGUUGUUCUACUUGGUAGUUAACCUUGGUUUUAUUUGAAUGCUAGAAGUUCAAGUUGACUUAGUAUGAACAUGUAAUAGUAUGAAUGGACUGGUUUCCCUGGAAAGAAAACUGAAUUUGUGUUCUAUAGUACAAAAGUUAUGAGACACAAAUUAGACAAAUGUUCACUACAACAGGGAUCAAAGGUGAGGUCUGACUGACUUGCCCAUAGUAAAUGUAAAUGAUUUGUUAUUUUGUCCCAUACAUAUGAAUAUAUAUAUAAUUUAGGGGUGGUGAUCUCAACGGUUUUCAAGUUCUCAAACAGGUAGGGUAGGCAGAGGAUUUAGGGGGCGCCCCCCCUUUUUUUGGUAAAAAAAAAUGGUUGCUUAUAUAGGGAAUCACUGAAGCAUAUCUGGAGCUGGCCCCCUCUUAGGUAAGUCAGUGGGCCCCCAAUUAUGAAAGUUUCUGGAUCCCCCACUGGGGGUAGGGUGACCCUAGGGACUUCCCCUACAUUUCAUUUUAUUUGUUAUAUUGUCCCAUACAUAAAUACAUAUGGUUUAAGGGUGGGGAUCUCAUUGGUUUCCAAGUUCUCAAACAGGAGGGUUAGGGUGACCCCAAGGACUCCCCCUAUAUUUCAUUUAAUUAGUUAUAUUGGCCCAUAUAUGAAUAUAUAUUGUUUUGGUGUGAGGAUAUCGACCGUUUCCAAGUUCUCAAACAGGAGGGUUGGGGUGACCACAGGGACUUCCCCUAUAUUUCAUUUUUGAUUUGUUAUAUUGUCCCAUACAUGAGUAUAUAUGGUUUAGGGGUGAGGAUCUUGACCAUUUCCAAGUUCUCAAACAGGAGCCCUAGGGUGUACAGUGACCCAAGGGACUCCCCUAUCUUUCAUUUGAAUUAUUAUAUUGUCCCGUACAUGCAUAUAUAUGGUAAAGGGGUGGGGAUCUCAACGGGUUUCAAAUUCUCAAACAGGAAGGGGUGGGGUGACCCAAGGGACUCCCCCUAUUUUUCAUCUGAUUUGUUAUAUUGUCCCAUACAUGAAUAUAUAUGGUUUAGGGGUGGGGAUCUCGACCAUUUCUAAAUUCCAAAACAGGAGGGUAGGGGUGACCCCCAGUGACUCUUCCUAUAUUUCAUUGAUUUUUCAUAUUGUCACAAACAUGAAUAUAUAUGGUUAAGGGGUGUGGAUCUCGACCGUUUCCAAGUUCUCAAACAGGAGGGGUUGGGGUAACUCCAGGGACUCCCCCUAUAUUUCAUUUUAUUUAUUAUAUUGUCCUAUACUUGAAUAUAUGCAGGGGCUGAUUCAGGCGGAAGGGGAGGGGGGCGUGCAGUGGCACACGCCGUGCACCCCCCCCCUUAAAUUUGCAAAGCAUGAGUUGUUCUCAUUUAUUCUAAAGAAUAUUCUUAAUAAAGAAUAAUUUUACCUCAUAUUUUUAUAAGCCUCACUGCUCGGAGAAAAUUUAAGUUUGCGUCCCUCCUAACCUAAAAUCCUGGAUCUGCCCCUCAUAUGGUUUAAGGGUGGGGAGCUCGACCGUUUCCAAGUUAUUAAACAGGAGGGGGUAGAGUGGCCCAAAGGAUGCCACCUAUAUAUCUUAUGAUUUACUUACAUUCAGGUAUAUAUAAUAUAGUAAAUAAAGAGAGAAACUUUCAGCUACUUUAAUUGACCCUUCAAAAUUGAGAUAAAAAAAUAACCCUUCGAAAUUGCAGUAAUAUGUUUACACUUUAAAAGCAUCUCACAUGCAUUAUCAUGAUUUAUCACUGAUAAAGAAAAUUUAGACUGUGACCAUGAACAUGUAUAUUCCUAGAUAUACACUAUUCCCAGCUGUCACGUUGUAUUGGAUUUUUAAAUUAAAAUUUGUCAAAAAGAAUUUUGAGUUUCUGUAUAAAAUAUUUGUCUGCUUUUUCUUUCCUUUACAUAUAUCUUUUGGUUUACAAUUCUAGUGUUUAUAUUAAUUUACCAUGCAUAGAUGUAUUUUUUCACCUGUUUGGAUUAAUUUUGUAAUUGAUCGCCAAACCCGGAAUUACCCUUAUCCGCUUCCGGAAUCGGAUCCGAUAUUGUAAAAUUUUGUCUUCACGGCCGCCAUUGUUAUGUGUUUACAAUGUUGUUUUUGUCAAUCAGAUACGAUUUUACUCGAAUUUAUACAAUAUUUAUCGGCGAUUUUCUGUAUAAAGCUAGCGGUUGAACAAAAUGAACAUCGCUGUCAUGAAUAAUAAUGAUAAAAUAAGUUUUUAGCUCGUUCAAUUGGAGACUUUGGUGAACAUGGUGAAAAGGUUUGCAAAGUUAAUUCUUAUUUUCUUUCAAGUGGAAGGUGACUACGUCGGGCGUAGCUAGAAACCAACUAUCCUAGUCGAAAUUCCGCUUGCAAAAGUGGAAGGUCGCGGACCUCGGACCACCGCUAAUUUGCACACCUGCCUCCAAAUUGAAAAGAUACUAAAAUUUCUUUUUCUAAUUUGAAAUUGCCGCCAACAGCAUGUACAGUUGAACUUAUUAUAUAAUAGACUACUGACGUAGUUGUACUACGUAUUGAUGACAAACAAUAUUCCUACGACUUUUGCCAUUUGGGAAAUCUAAACUACUUGUCUUAAGAGAUUUUCGGCGAUUAAAUAUUUCAUACAAUUGUUCUUUCACAUCUUGGCCAAAAGCACAAGUCAUAAUGAACUAC